GACGAACGCUGGCGGCGUGCUUAACACAUGCAAGUCGAACGGAAAGGCCCUGCUUUUGUGCGGUGCUCGAGUGGCGAACGGGUGAGUAACACGUGAGUAACCUGCCCUUGACUUUGGGAUAACUUCAGGAAACUGGGGCUAAUACCGGAUAGGAGCUCCUGCUGCAUGGUGGUGGUUGGAAAGUUUCGGCUGUUUGGGAUGGACUCGAGGCUUAUCAGCUUGUUUGUGGGGUAGUGGCUUACCAAGGCUUUGACGGGUAGCCGGCCUGAGAGGGUGACCGGCCACAUUGGGACUGAGAUACGGACCAGACUCCAAUGGGAGGCAGCAGUGGGGAAUAUUGCACAAUGGGCGGAAGCCUGAUGUAGAAACGCCGGGUGCGGGAUGAAGGCCUUCUGGUUGUAAACCGCUUUCGCCGUUGACGAAGACGGAGUGACGGUAAUGGGUAAAGAAGCCCCGGCUAACUACGUG
rnacentral:rRNA from 1 species